CCAAAACCACAGCCACCACUAGCCCAACCCCAAAACCACCUUUUAAAAUAAAAAACCCACCAAACCCAAAACCACCUUCAAUAAUCGAAAGGGAAACCGAGAUCGGGACGGAACCCACCAGCGCCAGACCCUCCCUCUCCCCUGAACCACCGCGCCGACGACAGCCAUCCCAACCCCAAUGGUGGGAUUUCGAAAAAUCGAAACCAAUUGAAUUGAAACAAUUGACCCAGAAGAAGGUCGGAAUCUGGACGGGGAAGGGGGCAAGGUGAAGAGGAGGGAGGAGUGUGGUUGUUUGGCGGCCGGAAAUGCGACGGGAAGCGGCGAGGUGAAGAGGAGGGAGGCGAACGUGCCUGGGUUGGUGAUUCGUGGAAUCGCGACGGGGAAGGGGCGAGGUGAAGAGGAGGGAGGCGUGGUGGUUUCCUGGAAUCGUGGGUGAGGGAGGGGCGGGGUUGGUGAUUCAGGUGGUUCGGGGAGGGGGAGGGUCUGCGCUGUCGGCGGCGACGUGGGAUGGUGGCAGGGUGGUCGGAGACGCGGGGCAGGGAACGGAGUCAGGGGCGUGGGGAUGGUGGCUGGAAUGGGUGGGUUUGGUUUUUUUAUUAUUAUUUUUUUUUUCUUUAAAAAAAAUCUAAUUUUUUAAAAAAAUUAUUUUAUUUUAUUUUUAAUUUUUUGACCAAUCACAAGCCGCCACGUGUCAUAUAACCUGUUAUAACAGGUUACAUGUAACAGGUUACAUGACCGGUUGGAACUAUUUUCAGCAGAUUGAUAUCAGAGGUAGGAUUAUUAAAAAGAAUUCCAAAAGUGGGAUUAUUAAUCUCCGAUAUUCAAAAGGUGGGAUUAUUCCAAUCAAUUUUUCCAAAAACUUAUGCUAAUAAUGGCCAAUGAGACUUAAAAAGGAACCGAUGAAGUUAAACGUGAUUUAGACAUUUCAAUCAAGUAAUAUCCUAGUAUAGUACAUGUGUUUUGGAAGCUAGCACUUUAUUAUGAUUUAAAGAGAAUAAGAGAUAGUGCAAGAGUAGUAAGAUAUUAUCAAAAGCGUGGAUAAGUAGAAAGAGGCCAAGAAUGAACGGCACAUCAUCAACAGCUCCUCUUAUCGCCCAAAGGGCAGUCAACGCGCGCGUUGCACGCGGAAUGGCUUGUCCUUGCAACAAUUUUACUUGUCUUGUGUUUGCACUUCACAUGGAGGAAUAAAAGACCGGUAAAGGAAUAUAUUUCUAUUGUUUAGGCAUUGUUUGUUUAUAGUCGUCCUAAGUUGAAUGUUACGCGUGAAAUAUCUUGUAUAUUGAAAAAAAUCUUUAUUUUUAUUAUUUGUAUAUGGUGAUUUUUUUAAUUGGAGUACUAUGUAGAGUUACAGUAGAAUAUAAUUAUUAGGUUUUUCAAUGA